GGAAAUGUUAUCACGCAGCAGCGGACAAAACAGGCACGGUGCUUUACAACAGGAUGCGUGAAGGAAGGCUCUGAGGUUUCCCUGUUGUAAAGCAAAACUGUUGAUCACAGCUUGAACCUCUGAUUAA
rnacentral:lncRNA from 1 species